AUAGCCAUGAAAGGGUUCUAAAAUAUAUCUGUUUCAUAAUAUCUAAUACACCACUUCUUGAGAGCAAAAUAUCAGUUAUAAUAUCACAUCAUUUAUACCCAUUAUGUAACUUCCUAUUUUCCAUUAAUUGACUUACAAAUUUGAUUCUUUGGGGACUAAUACUUUGAUUGUCAGCUACAAAACAUUUUCAGAAGAACACUGAUAUUAGAAGUACACACUUGUUUGAAGUUUUGAUGUGUGUGUGUGUGUGUGUGUGUUUGUGUGUGUUUGUGGCAGGACUUGGGUCAUGGGAAGUUCUGCAAAAUUUUCCAAAGCCAGGAUUUUUGUUCCUCUAUUCAAAUCUGAGCAAGAUUAAUGCUCCAUUCCCAUUAUACAUAUAAAAUAUAUUUACAGGUAGAUCAACAGACAUUAUAGAUUGUCCUAUGACAGUCAUCAGUGAUUGCUUAUUGUGUGGUCUAACCAUGGGAUUAAUUCAUCAUAUUUAUAUUAAAUUAUUUUGUAUUAUUAUAUUGAUUCUUUUUAAUUCAUUUUAUAUCUAUUUUUAUAUGUAAUGACUCCCCCUUUAAAAUGCAAGGUCCUUGAAACCAGUGUUUACCUUUUCAUCCUUAGUGUUUAUUAUUAUUAUUGACACAUAGUAGGCAUUUAAUAUAUACUUACCCAUUGACUGGUUUGUUUUAUAAUGACUUGAAUGUUCCUGUCUGGGCGCUUAGACUAACACUUGAAUGAUUAUAGAAUUAGUCAACUAUAAACAAAACAAAACCAAACAGCAACAAACAACGCAAAACCAAACAGCAACAAACAACGCAAAUCAAAAUGGCAAUUUCAGUGUGGGCAUCAUGAACUCAAAAUUACUGGAAUCUGUAAGUGACUAAAUCUUCGUGUAGUUGAUAUCAUUUUCCCAGUGCCUUACGAUAAUCUUUCAAAGAGUUUUCAAAGAUUCUUCAGGUCUGAUUGUCCUUGAAUCCUAAGUGGUUUUAUAACCCAUGAGCUUCAGAAUUUCUUGUCUUGCUAUCUCACAUUUUAACUAGUAUUCUAGCACUUAUACUCUGAAAAGACGCACAAUUAUGAAAUGUGAAAUGCUAGGUCCAAAACAGAGUUGGUGAUCAUCUAAGAUAAAUGGUUAUUGUGAGAACCAAUUGAAAUAAUGGAUAUAAAGUGCUUGGCAACCUUAAAAUACUAUCAUUGUAAUGGGAAGACCCGUGUAUUUGAAUGUAGAAGACCUGAGUUUAAAUUCUGAAUUAAUGCUGAGUGAAAUGAGCAGGACCAGGAGAUCAUUAUAUACUUCAACAACAAUACUAUAUGAUGACCAGUUCUGAUGGACCUGGCCAUCCUCAGCAAGGAGAUCAACCAAAUCCUUUCCAAUGGAGCAGUAAUGAACUGAACCAGCUAUGCCCAGAAAAAGAACUCUGGGAGAUGACUAAAAACCAUUACAUUGAAUUCCCAAUCCCUAUAUUUAUGCACACCUGCAUUUUUGAUUUCCCUCACAAGCUAAUUGUACAAUAUUUCAGUGUGAUUCUUUUUCUACAGCAAAAUAACAUUUUGGUCAGGUAUACUUAUUGUGUAUCUAAUUUAUAUUUUAAUAUAUUUAACAUCUACUGGUCAUCCUGCCAUCUAGGGGAGGGGGGUGGGGGGGUAAGAGGUGAAAAAUUGGAACAAGAGGUUUGGCAAUUGUUAAUGCUGUAAAGUUACCCAUGUAUAUAUCCUGUAAAUAAAAGGCUAUUAAAUAAAAAAAAAUAAAAUUCUGAACUUGAGUAUCUUUCUGGACAUAAAAAAGUCCAUCUGGACUCUAUUUUCUUAUUUAUACAAUGGGGAUUAUGAUACGUAGAGUGGAGUACCUACCUCACAGAGUUGUUCCAAAUUUUAAUAAGUCACUGUAUGUGAAUUAUGUUAUAAAUAAGCCUUCAUGUAAAAUACAAAUUUCAGUUACUGCGAUAUAUGGACAAAGAAAUUGAGAUCCUAUGGGAUUAAAUUAUGUGUCCAAAUCUAGAGAGAGAAUUAAAUGCAGAAUUAAUAAUUUAAUUCAGAUUUCUAACUUCACUUUUAAUGUCCUUUCCAACUUCCAUAUCACCAAUAACAAGUACAUGGGGUCCUUACCGGUAAGGAAACAUCCCUUGUCAAUGCUGGUUUGUAUCUUCUCAAUAAUUAAUAAUUUUAGAGAGUCAACUAGAAUACUGAGAGUUUAACCAUCUUAUAAAGGGUCAUGUAGCCAGUAUUUUCAAAGGUGAAACUUUGAACUUGAAUCCUUCAGACUUGAAAGGCACCAUUCUCCACAUUACCAUAUUACCUUUCAUUGUGAAUAGUAGUGUUCUGUACAUAAAAAUAUGAAUUAAACCCUGUUUUAGGAUCCUAUGUUAACUAGUAGAUAUAGAGCUGGACAGUGUCAGAAAGACCCAAGUUAAAAUUUUGCAAAAUAUGCUUUCUUAGCUUUGUGAUAUAAGACGUGUCAUUUAAUCUUUAUAUUUUCACUUUCUUCAUUUGUAGUUUGAGUAUAAAUUAUAGUUAUUACAAACAUAUAUAUGAAUAUAUAUGCAUGUGUGUAUUAAAUAUCUAAUUGUUAUGAGGAUCAAGUUACAAACCUUAAAGAACUAUAUAAAUGCUAGUUGUAUAUCAUUGUUGUUAUUAAUAACAAUACUUCAGUAAUUUAAACCAUAUGACAUUACCAACUCAGUCCCAAAUUACAAAUGGUAGUGUGGUUAAAUUCUGGAUUUAAGGUCACUCAGGAAGUUUUGAGGUAGAGUCCAUUUUCUAAGACCAACUGUCUUACCAUGUUCUAGUCACUUCUCUCUGACUCUCAAUCUCCUUUUUUAUAAAAUGGCAAGGUUAAUAUCAGUUUUUCCUACCUCUAGAUUUUUUUGUGUGAGACUCAAAUGAAAUAAUAUGCUUUGGUCAGGAGCUCUUAUCUUUGUUCCCCAAACAGCCCCUAUGCCAAGAUAUUUCUGGAUAGAUUCCAGAAAAUCUGAAUUAUUUUAAGAUAUUGACAAAUACAUUUCAAUAUAUUUUGACUUCUGUGAGAAUUUAUUUGUUUUAUUUUAUGCUUUGAAAUAUUUUUUCUGAGAAGGUGUUCAUAUGCUUUUGAUGAGAUUAGAUUCAGGGAAUCAAAUGAUGAGAUUAGAGUUCCUGGUGAUCAGGGAGUUAAAAGAUGAGGUUAGUGGCAGGUUCGGAGUUGAGGGAACCAAAUCAAGAGGUUGAUCCUAAAUCCCCUUUAGACCUGGUGCAAAGUAGGGAGUUGUGGGAACCACUUCUGGCAGUGUAAAAGUACUUCAUAAAAAAAUUUACACACCCAAAAAGCUAGACUGAUAAAAAGUUUAUUAUUGGUAUUUGGAAGUCAGCCUUUACUAUGCAUGAAUAAAAAAAUUGAAUUCCUUAGUGGCAGGGUCCCGGCAGAAAGAUAUAAAGUUUCUAGUGGAGGAGUUCUGGCAGAGAGAUAGAGAAUUUCUAGCAGAGAAAUUCUGACAGAGAGGUAUAAAGCCUUGUUAGGGAAAUGGAUGACAAUAAAGAAAGGGUAACACUGAAAAAGAAUAUCAUUCCAGCAGGCAGAAGUUUCCUUGGCAUAGCAUAGUAUGGCAUAGCAUGACAUGGCAUGUUAGGUCCUCUACAAGGAGGGGGUUUAAGAUUGGUUCUUUUAUAAUAAAAGCCUUAACUACAAGCAAAGGCCUGCUUGCACUCUCAAUAGAGGCUGGUGGGUAGAGUUUGACCUGGAAUUGAAUAGAAUUCAAUGAAUCUCUUUUAAUUCAAUAAGGUUGGAAUCCUCCAGUCCUGACUCAACUAGCCCCACCUAAAUAACCGAAUGAAGCUGUUUAUCUUGUUUCCCUCCGCCAGAAUCCCACAGAGGCAGAGUUCAAGGAGAAUCGCUCCCUCAAGGAGUUUUAGGGAGUUUUGGGGUUGCUUUGUCACUUUAACUGAAUGUCCAAGAAAUUCAUACACUAAAACAUUUAAAAAUCUUUGGAUGAAACCAUUUUAUAAAUACCAUGUAUUGUUACUAUUUUUGUUAACAUCUAUGUCAACCAUCUUUCAGUGCACAUCCAUGUCAACCAUCUUUCCGUCCAUAUAGUUGGUCACACUGUGAUAAUAAAAAUAAUAAUAAAUACUGCAUGCUUUCAAUAAGAUUUCAGUAUACAGAUGCAUGAAUGCUAAAGAAAUUGAAAAAAAAAAUGAAUACACUUUUAAUAGAAAGCAGCAACUAGGAAAUGAAAAUAUUUAUAACAUUCUUCUGCAUCGCAGAAAGGAAAUUAGGUACUUCUGUUCCUUUAAUUCACACACAAUUCUUCAGUGAGCUCCAAUCUACUUUCCACUAUAAGUUUUUUAAUAUCUACUUGUGCAUACAUGUAGUCAAUUUGUCAGAGAAAGAAACUAAAUCAAACAGGAAGCUGAAUUUAAUAAAUGAAGACUGGAAAGGAACUGAGGGGAAAGGAAAGGGGUUUUAGCAGUCUGGGGAAAUUCACCUAGGCAGAUACAGCACAUCGGAUAGCAAGUUCAAGACCUUCAAGUCGGAGGGAGGAAUUCAGACUAGGAGAGAAUCCUAAAAACUCAGAUUUAGAGAUGGAUUUAUUAGAUUGAUUAGGUAGUGUAAAGAUUGAAUAAUAUACACUGACUAUUGCAGUAUUCAUACCCUGUAAUACCAAUAGACCUUCCUUAUAAAAAUAAAUAUGAAGAAUUUUUCUCAUUGAUCCAUCCUGGCUGACCAAGUAAAAAUGUGAUUGGGUAUUUUGACUGUGCAACUGUGAAAUAAACUAUGUUUUCGCCUAUUUAGGCAUUAUUUGUUAUUUUUGUUUGCUUAGUUGUGUUUUUUUUAAGAGAGGGAGGUUUUGGGUUAAAAUAUUUUGGGGUAUGGAAAAAGGAUUUGGGAAUUGGGAGGGCAAUUUAAAAGUGUAAGUGACCUUUCAGACACUGAAAGUAUAUUAGAAUUUAGUGUUCAUGCUAUGAAGUUAUAAGAGCACUUUCUCCUACAUCCCAAUUCCUUUUUCCCUACCCUCAACAUAUUUUAUCUCAAAAUAACCUUCUGCUAAACUUGUUUUACCAGGGAGGGUUUAAUUGGUAUUACAUGGCAUGAAUUCUGCAAUAGUCAUUGUGAAUUAUUGAAUCUUUCUGCUAUUCAAGCAAAAUAACAACUAUUGCAUGGUUAUUUUAAAUAGUCUAAAGCAAUAUUGAUAUGGCUGACAUAUAAUGUAAUUUUCCAUCUUUACUCUUUUGAUUGUCUAUUUUAGAUUCAACUUUGUCUGAGAUCAUGAUUACUAUCUCUGUUUUUUACAUAAUAAAUUCUACUUGUGAUCUUUAUUUUAUGUUUGUAUCUUUCAUUUUUAUGACUUUUCCUGAAAACAACAUAUUGGUAAGUUCAAAUUUUUAAUCUACUAUCUGUUUCUAUUUUAUAAGUGAAUUCAUCCAAUUUACAUUCUAAGCUAUACUUACUUGUUUAUUUCUCUCUUUUCUUUGCUUUUCUCUUUCCUCACCCUUUUCUUUUCCCUUCUCCAUUUUACUUCUUUCUACUAUAUUGCCGUUCUGUUUCUUAAUUUACCCCCCUCCAAGGAUUUCUCUUUACCUUAUUUCCUGACCCUAUCACCUUGCCUUCUUAUUUUUAAUCUGAAUUUAGAAGACUUAUAUACCCUUCAAAUAAUUGUAUUGUUCCCUCUUUAUUUCAUUCCUAUUAAUCCACACACACUUAUAUAUCCCCCUUAUCUUAUUCCCUUAUUAUAUUUCUCAAUAUUGUAGACUUUUAUUAAGUUCUAAAUGUAAAUACUGCUUUCUCCUUAAGCCUGAUCUUAUGAGUAGGGUUUUCUCUAAAAAUCUCUCCUUUAAGCUCGCCUCCCUCCCUAUGCUUCUACUAUCUUACUUGUUUCCGAAAUUAGAAGACUUUUAUACUAUUUUGUAUAUAUCAUUUAUUCUUCUUGUAUCUCAUUUGUAUGAGAUUAUUACUCUUUUCAUCAUUUUUUCUACAUUUUUUUUUCCUUUUUAGAAUCCCAUAAUGCUUCUUUUGAACCAUCCAAUUACUACCAACAGUCUUAGACAUAUGAUUUACAUUUCCAUGGAUAAGAAGCCAACACAUUCUCCUUAUUGACUCCCUUAUAAUUACUCUUUGAUGUAUACCUUACAUUUCUCUUGGAUCUUGAAUGUCAAAUUUCUAUCAACUUCAAGCAUUUUGUAACAAAAUCUGAAAGUCUGGCAAUUCAUUGAAUGCCAUUUAUUUAUGUUUUUGUUCAGGAUUAUGCUUAAUAUUGCUGGGUGUGAACUUUUUUUUUUUUCUUAAAUCAAAUUAUUUUACUCUUCAAUAUAUUACUCCACGACCCUGAAAUCUUUUAGUAUAGUCACUUCUAGGUCCUGGGUAAUCUUGAAUCUUCUGUAUUUAAAUUGUUAUUUUUUCCCUUGUUGCUCAUAAUAUGUUCUUUUUGAAUUGGAAUUUUCAGAAUUCAUUUAUUCCUGUUAGGUUUUCCUCUUAGUAUCUCUUUCAGGUGGUGAUCGGUGAUUUUUUUUUUUCUAUUUCAAGUUUCUCCUCUUAUUUUAACACUUCCAGCCAAUUUUCCUCAAUGAUUUCUCCUAUUAUUGUAUCAAGCUGCUGCUGCACUGCUUUUUCUCCUUCUUCUUUCAUAGUAAAUUUCAGGUAGUUCAAUUAUUUUUUUUUCUCUUCUUGAUCUCUUCUCCAGAUCAGUUGUUUUGUUUUGAGAUAUUUCACUUUUAUUUUUCAUUCUUUAUAUUUUUUAAAAUAAUCCUUGUUAGCUAAGUUUUCAAGGAAUCCUUUUCUUUAUUAGAAUUCUGGAUCUCUUUUUCUGUUUGUUGACUUUCUUUUCAUAAUCUUUUUUGUUCCCUCCCCCCCCCUCCGCCCCUUGGAUUGUUCUUAUUUUUUUUUAAGUAAUCCUCAUUCUCUCUUAUUUGCUUUUUAAUGUCUUUUUUGAGUUCUUCUAGAAAUUUUUUUUUGGUCAGAUGACCAUUUGACAUUACUCUUUGGGGUUUCGGAGGCUUUUUAAAUUUUAUUUUAUUGUCAUUUUAAAAUUUAUUAUUCUGCUCUGAAGAGGAACCCAUCUUCUCUAUUCCUAACUAUCUAUGGUUGGGUUCUUUCUCCUUUGCCUGUUCAUUAUUAUUUUUUUAAUAGCAAUUGGCUAUUACAAUCA
ensembl:lncRNA